rnacentral:rRNA from 1 species
UGAGGAAUAUUGGGCAAUGCCCGCAAGGGUGACCCAGCAACGCUGCGUGGAGGAUGAAUGUCGUAAGAUUGUAAACUCCUGUUAGAGGGGAAGAAUAGUACCGGUUGGACCGGUAUAUGACUGUACCCUCAGAGAAAGCCCCGGCUAACUACGUGCCAGCAGCCGCGGUAAUACGUAGGGGGCAAGCGUUGUCCGGAUUUACUGGGUGUAAAGGGCGCGCAGGCGGGAUAAAAAGUCAGUGGUGAAAUCCUACAGCUUAACUGUAGAACUGCCUUUGAUACUUUUAUUCUUGAGUUCGGGAGAGAGAGACGGAAUUCCAGGUGUAGUGGUGAAAUACGUAGAUAUCUGGAAGAACACCAGUUGCGAAGCGGUCUCUUGGUCCGACACUGACGCUGAGGCGCGAAAGCGUGGGGAGCAAACA